rnacentral:lncRNA from 1 species
UCAUUAGUAUUUCCAAAACUUUUUAAUCAUCCCAAAUGGAAAUUCUGAACUCAUUAAAUAAUCCCUUUCAGCUGCCUCUCUCCAGUCCCUGGAAACCUCUAAUCUACUUUCAAUCUCUGAAUUCGCCUAUUCUAGAUAUCUCAGGGACGUGGAACUGCAGGAAACGUGCAUGGAUCAGGUGCACCCUACUCCAUCUGCUUGUUCUUCUAUGAUACCGUGGCUGGGAUCUUCCAUCUUUAUCCAUCUGACUCCGGCAGCUUUUUCUCAGUUCCAAACUGGCCGGGGGUAAAAGUGAGUGUGAUGAGCUCUCACAAACCCCAACAAUUUAGUGCUUCACACAUGGCGGGUCCUCACUGAAAGAUGGCUGAAAAAAGGAAAGGGUGAAUGAGCAAAACAGAGCUAUAUUUUAUUUAGUUUUCCAUCUUUUAUGAUUUUAAUGAAAGACUAUCUAGAAAGCAGCAGAGUAGUUAAUAACACACGUGGUCUCUGGAAUCCGAAACACCUGUAUCCAAACCCAGAUGCUCUCUCUAACCUGUGAGAUUGCUCAAUGGGGCUGAGCCUUUAGUCUCUAGAUGGUAAAAUAUUAGCAAAUGGCUUGCACGUGUGAUGUGCAAGGACUAAACAAGGCGUGCCUAUAAAGUGCUGAGUGUGCAGGAGCAACUGUGGCAUUGCCAAGUCUCAUUCCCAGCCCUCAUGUCCUAGAAGAUGAAUGGGAUGGAGCCAGAAGUGAUGUGUAAAAUGGGAUGGAAGCAGAAGAUAGAUUCCACUGCUAAAAACUGCAUGGAUUAUGGGUGUGUAUUCCAUCAUACACAAAGGUGACUCCACAGACUCUCAGUUGUGCUUGUUGCUCAGGCCAAAUCCUGCCUUUUGAAAAAAUAGCAUGCGUGUUUACAGAUAAAUUUUGAAAGCCCGUAGUUAAAGCUAAUGACUAUAUUAUUUUCUAGAUUUCUCCGGG